rnacentral:sRNA from 1 species
AAAGUAGACUAGCAAUUAUCAGUCUGAGUCCUCACAGCUUGUCUUCCUUUUCCGAAUAUAUUUAUUCCUUGAACUAAACUAUGAUUUGUCACGUAUUGGAUUGGUCGGUGGACCUGCUUACCCACCUCGUACACUGGAUUAUUUGGCACUUGUGCAAGUUACUGGUAAUACAGGCUUUUGCCCUUCUGAUAGUACUUGCCUACAAGAUGGUUUGGCGCCGCGUGGUCGCCUCUUCUCCAGAGGAGUCCUACUGGAAUCCGGGACGUAAAGCCCCCAAAUCUAUGCCGGAACCGUCACCCGAAGUUGUAUCGGACAACAAAUGAAGAGGAGCACGGAGGCAAUCGGAGUCACACGCUGGAAACUUUCUAUUUUGAUAGAUUGUUGAAUUACAGUUGAUUCUUUAAAUAAACUUCAAUUCGAUUCCGACACAA